AUGUCUCUCACCACUGCAAACUACCACAAACCACGGUAAACUACAUCCUCCACCUUACACCUAUGGUUUGUACACAUUACAGCUAGGGUUCUACAAAGAUGCCGAAAUCCAAGAGUUUGAGCAGGGAAAAGACGUAAGUAAAGGGGAUCGAGCGAUGUGCUCUGUUGGUAGCCUGCAGUGGUUUUGGAUGCUGCUUCUUCUAUGAUUUUGUUUGUUUAGGUUAGCGACGGUUUUCUACACCUUAGUUUCAGUAUCAUAAUCUAUGGUUUGUUCUUUAUUAUAUGAUAUGUGCUUAAAGUUUGCCUCUCUUUUGGGUUCUUCUUAAUGCACGCCAAUUGCUCGACAAUUUGUCUUGAUAAAUUUGCAUUUGGGGUUUUACUCUAAGCUUUAAAAGAUUGUUUUAUGUAUAUGAGGAGUACAAAAUGUGAUACAUUGAAUCAGUAUAUCCUUAGAAGUAUGGAUUGUUAACUAAUUAAUCAAGUGUUUAAAGAGUUUUGAUCUUUUCAAAUCUUUGGGAACUGGCAUCAAUUCAUAAGACUUUCUUAACCUUUUUUCCCUUCCAUUGUAACAAAUAUUAAAUACAUGUAAUCAUUAUGUGUUUCGUAUUUCAAUUCUGUCUUUAUUAUAUUAGCGACAGUAGCUUGCACAACUCUUUCUUGACAUUUCUAUUCAUGUGUGUGUGUAUAUAUGUAUGUAUGUGUGUGUCUAUUGGCUAAAUACAUUCCGUUCUCCAAUGCAAAGACUUCCACCGACAUUGGCUACGGCUCCGCAAUCGUCUUUAUUUUUAUGAUUAAUUCGAUUGUUUCUUCUCAUAUGUAAUUUUCUUUUUAUAUAGAUUGUUUGUGCAAAACUAGAUGCCUCUUGUCGUCGUUCUUUGCCGAUUAUUACUCAUCUUAUGAAGAUGGAUGAAGUAUAGAAUGUUUUUUUAUUGGAAUGCCGAUGACGAUGAUUUGGAUAGCGGAAGAUAAAUUAAGAUUGGACACCUUGGUCACAUCAGAGGCUAGGCACGCAUCGCAUGAUGCAGUGAUUCUACCCGUAAAAUUCGCACACUUUUUGUUAAUUACUUUUCUUUUUAUUUAAAAUUUGAUGAUGCGGUCAAGAAAAUGAAUUGCAAAAAUUGUUUAGAGAUGAUGAUGCUUUAGAGCUCUUAGUGGCGUGUGAGUGAUAUUGCUUUAGAACGUGUUCUUAGUGGCGAGUGAGUGAUAAUUGCUUUUGCUGAUUGUUAUGGUGUGUUAAUCAUUUAAACAACAUUCAUUAUAUAACAAUAAUGUUGAAAAAAAGCAGAGUGUUUGAUGAUUUUGAGAUUCAAAGGAAAGUCACUAGGAAGCGGAAAUGGAAUCAAAGAGAUGAUGAUGGGGAGAUGGUUUCAAAGAAAAACGAACUCAGGAAGAGAUUGUGAAGUUGAAGAAGAAGCAUUGACAAGGGAGGAGCAAUAAUUAUUUUAGAAGGCGAAUUAGAAAGCAUAGUAUAUUAGUAUUAAUAAAAAUACAGGUUGGACUCUAAAUUUUUAUGGAUAUUACAUAG
rnacentral:lncRNA from 1 species